UGCGUAGGCGGAUCAAUAAGUCAGUGGUGAAAUCUCUCGGCUCAACCGGGAAACUGCCAUUGAUACUGUUGAUCUUGAGUUCGGUUGAGGUAGGCGGAAUGUGUGAUGUAGCGGUGAAAUGCUUAGAUAUUACACAGAACACCAAUUGCGUAGGCAGCUUACUAGACCGACACUGACGCUGAGGCACGAAAGCGUGGGGAGCGAACAGGAUUAGAUACCCUGGUAGUCC
rnacentral:rRNA from 1 species